UACGGAGGGUGCGAGCGUUGUCCGGAAUCACUGGGCGUAAAGGGCGCGUAGGUGGCUUGGCAAGCGUGUGGUGAAAGCCCCGGGCUCAACCUGGGAAUUGCAUUCGAGACUGCAUUGCUGGAGUACGGAAGAGGAAGGCGGAAUUCCCGGUGUAGCGGUGAAAUGCGUAGAUAUCGGGAGGAACAUCAGUGGCGAAGGCGGCCUUCUGGUCCAGUACUGACACUCAAGUGCGAAAGCGUGGGGAGCAAACAGG
rnacentral:rRNA from 1 species